UUGUCUUCGAUGGAACAUCUGUAAGGCC
rnacentral:piRNA from 1 species